rnacentral:tRNA from 7 species
GGCCGCUUAGCUCAGUUGGUAGAGCAACCGGUUUACAUCCGGUAGGUCAGGGGUUCAAGUCCCUUAGCGGCCA